rnacentral:rRNA from 1 species
GAGAUCGGGAUAACACCUGGAAACAGAUGCUAAUACCGGAUAACAAUAGAUGAUGCCUAUCAACUGUUUAAAAGAUGGUUCUGCUAUCACUCUUGGAUGGACCUGCGGUGCAUUAGCUAGUUGGUAGGGUAACGGCCUACCAAGGCGAUGAUGCAUAGCCGAGUUGAGAGACUGAUCGGCCACAUUGGGACUGAGACACGGCCCAAACUCCUACGGGAGGCAGCAGUC